UCUUUAUUGGCCGGAUUGGAUCGAGGGAUGCCACCGAGCAGCGACCUUGGAGGUCACGGGGUUGAUCCAGUGAGAUAGGUUCUAUGAAGGUGAUCUUGGACCUUAUCUUCCUUGUUGCUGAUUAAGGUCACGAUUGAGUGAGGGAAGAUUUCGGCAAAGUGAGUGUUGUGGAUCAACAAGUGCG